rnacentral:tRNA from 1 species
AAAAAUAGUAGGGGGGC